rnacentral:tRNA from 1 species
UGGAUAUUAGUUUAAAAUAAAACAUUUAAAUUGCGAUUAAAAAUUAAUAAUUAAUAUAUUAUUAUAUCUAA